rnacentral:rRNA from 1 species
UGCCAGCCGCCGCGGUAAUACGGGGGGCGCAAGCGUUAUUUGGAAUUAUUGGGCGUAAAGGGCGCGCAGGCGGUCUUGUCCGUCAGGUGUGAAAGCUCGGGGCUCAACCCCGGAAGUGCAUUGGAAACUGGCGAACUUGAGUACGGGAGAGGAAAGUGGAAUUCCGAGUGUAGGGGUGAAAUCCGUAGAUAUUCGGAGGAACACCAGUGGCGAAGGCGGCUUUCUGGACCGAUACUGACGCUGAGACGCGAAAGCGUGGGGAGCAAACAGGAUUAGAUA